UACGUAGGGUGCGAGCGUUGUCCGGAAUUAUUGGGCGUAAAGGGCUCGUAGGCGGUUUGUCGCGUCGGGAGUGAAAAUCCAGGGCUUAACUCUGGACUGGCUUCCGAUACGGGCAGACUAGAGGUAUGCAGGGGAGAACGGAAUUCCUGGUGUAGCGGUGAAAUGCGCAGAUAUCAGGAGGAACACCGGUGGCGAAGGCGGGUCUCUGGGCCGAUU
rnacentral:rRNA from 1 species